rnacentral:rRNA from 1 species
UACGUAGGGUGCGAGCGUUGUCCGGAAUUAUUGGGCGUAAAGGGCUCGCAGGCGGUUUCUUAAGUCUGAUGUGAAAGCCCCCGGCUCAACCGGGGAGGGUCAUUGGAGACUGGGAAACUUGAGUGCAGAAGAGGAGAGUGGAAUUCCACGUGUAGCGGUGAAAUGCGUAGAGAUGUGGAGGAACACCAGUGGCGAAGGCGACUCUCUGGUCUGUAACUGACGCUGAGGAGCGAAAGCGUGGGGAGCGAACAGG